GACGUAGGUGGCGAACGUUAUCCGGAAUUAUUGGGCGUAAAGGGUGCGUAGACUGUUAAAUAAGUUAGUGGUGGUAAAUCAGAGCUCAACUCUGUGGAAGUCGCUAAUACUGUUUAACUUGAGGGCAGGAGAGGUUAACGGAACUCCUAUGGAGCGGUGAAAUGUGUAGAUAUAGAGAGGAACACCAAAAGGCGAAGGCAGUUAACUAUUCUGUUCCUGACGUUGAGGCACGAAAGCGUGGGGAGCGAAAAGG
rnacentral:rRNA from 1 species